rnacentral:rRNA from 1 species
CCUACGGGAGGCAGCAGUAGGGAAUAUUGCUCAAUGGGGGAAACCCUGAAGCAGCAACGCCGCGUGGAGGAUGAAGGUUUUCGGAUUGUAAACUCCUUUUGUUAGAGAAGAUAAUGACGGUAUCUAACGAAUAAGCACCGGCUAACUCCGUGCCAGCCGCCGCGGUAAUACGGAGGGUGCAAGCGUUACUCGGAAUCACUGGGCGUAAAGAGCGCGUAGGCGGGAUAGCAAGUCAGAUGUGAAAUCCUAGGGCUUAACCAUAGAAGUGCAUUUGAAACUGUUAUGCUAGAGUAUGGGAGAGGUAGGUGGAAUUCGUGGUGUAGGGGUAAAAUCCGUAGAGAUCAAGAAGAAUACUCAUUGCGAAGGCGACCUGCUAGAACAUAACUGACGCUGAUGCGCGAAAGCGUGGGGAGCAAACAGGAUUAGAUACCCUUGUAGUC